rnacentral:lncRNA from 1 species
CGGCUUGUGGGAUCAACCAGAAGCCGCUGCAAGAAGUCCAUUCCUGCCACGACUACUUCGAACCCCUCCUCGAGUUUAUGACCACCUUACCUCUAGAUGAGAAGGUGGUUCUGGUGGGUCACAGCUUUGGUGGAGUUGGCUUGUCCCUCGCUAUGGAAACCUUUCCAGAAAAAAUUUCUGUUGCUGUUUUCGUAACCGCUCUUAUGCCUGGUCCGGACCUUUCUUACGUUACUAUCUCUAAUGAGGUGACUUUAUCUUUAUUAAAAAAAAACAGAAUUGAGUAACCCAAAUGUUUAAAAUUAGCACAAAUUCUCAGAAACAGAAUGGUGUUUGCUGUGUUGUCAACAUUUUUUUUUUGUGUGCAAAUACUUCAGAUUAAAAAAGUGUUCGAAUCAUCAAGCGUAGAAUAUUUUACAGUUGAUGAAAGCUUUGAUAAACAUAUAUUUUCUCCGUCUCUUAUUAUUUUUCCUGUAUGCUUUAUCAUGUUUGCCAACACAUAUUUUGCAUCGUCAAUAUCUAUAAUUUCGUAUUAGUAUUAAAUAUAAAAUCUUACUGUAUUAAAGUACUCAUGAAUACGAAUCCAACAAAAUCAUUCACAAUUAUAUUUAAUCUUACAGAUUAGACGCAAAUUAAUAAUUUGUCUAAUGUUAUGAACAGUUCCGACCUAUCAAAGGAGUAAAGCAAAAAGAAACGGAGGGAGUAGUAAACUUUACACCCGAGGCAUUGGCCUCCAAACUGUAUCAACUCUCUCCAACCCAGGUAUGUUAAUGUACAAACUGCCAAGAAGCAAACUUUUAAUAUUAUAGCUCUAUGCCUCUAUGUAAUUAUAAUCUUUUAGCAUUGUGUUAAGAAAGGAUUAUAGUUUAUAUCAUUCUCGACUUCCAGUUCCAGAUGUUAAAAUGACAAUAGUGCGCUGAGAAAACAUGGCAGAUUCUUGAUCUUGCAGGCACAAAUAAUUUGAAUCUCUUUUAGCUGGAAUUUUUUUAUAAUGCACAGGAUUUGACACUAGCAACUAUGUCAGUGAGGCCACAUUCUUUACAAGUUAAAUCAGAUGCAUCAGAAAGCCUGAUUGUCAGUAAAGAGAAGUAUGGUUCAGUCCAUCGCGUGUACAUUGUGGCUGAUCAAGAUAUGAUACUAUCCGAAGAAGUUCAGAGGUGGAUGAUUCAACUAAACCCACCAAAUGAUGUGAAGGUGAUCCAGGGUUCUGAUCACAUGACCAUGGUCUCUAAGCCACAGGAGCUCUCAUCUUGCCUUCUGACAAUUGCCCAGCACCACUGCUGAUGAAUUGCAGUAAAGUGUAACGGAAGAUCGAGGGGUAACGAGGGGUAAUGGAAUGAAAAAUUAUAAAUUCUUUUAUGAAAAUAGAAGAACGUAUAAGAAAAAGGAGACAUAUCCUUUAAUCUAUAUACAGUUAACGGAUUGUAUUCGAUUGAGAUUUUAAUUGAUUGUUUUUCGUCUAUGAAUUUUAAUAGAUUGUAUGUGAUUUUGAACUCUCAUCUUGCCUUCUGUCAAUUGCCCAGCACCACUGCUGAUAAAUUGCAGUAAUGUAAGAUUGUGUUGGAACGAAGAGAUAACGGAAUAAAAAUUGUAAAAAAAUUUAUGGAAAAAGAAGAAUGUAUGAGAAAAGGGAGACAUAUCACUUUAUGAGUUGCAUCGAGUAAUAAUUGUUGAAAAAGUAGAUAAAAAUAUAGAGUAAAUAAAUUUUUAAAAAUCUAAAAAUAUUAUCUAAAAUACUAGAUUUCGGAAUCUUUAAUUUGGAUGUAUACUAACGAUAAAAUGAUUUUUUUGAUAAAAAUUUUCAAAUUAAUGACUCAUUUAAGUCAUUUUUGUAAUCAAAAUAACUUACUUGAUACAUUUGGAAGCAGUAAGUGAACUACUUAAUAAUUAACCCGAUUAUUAUACUUUGGAUAAUUAGUCAAUAACUCCCAUCCGAAAUAUGUAUGGUUCAAUGAACUCAUGACAUCUGUAUGGUUCAAUGUACGUAUCCAUUUACAUCAAAAGCCAGAAAAUUAGGCAAGAAAAUUACUCUUUGGAUCUCUUUCAUCACUAUUUAUACCUAAAUUAUCUAUCACUAUUUAUACCUAAAUUGUCGGUUCAAGAACAUUUCAGAAAAUCUAUUUCAAAUAUUCUGUAAAUAAGAUCAAAAAAUACAAGGAAGAUGAGUCAACAUAUAAAAAAUUUAUACGUAAUAUAUAAAAAUAAAUAAAAUAUAUCUGUUAAUAAAUUAUUAUUAAAAACUUAACUCAAAAACAUAUAUCAAAUAGAGCCGACAAAAUAGCACUAAUUACCCCUUUCAAACCAAUAUAAACACAUCAAUCAUGACCAUCCAUGAAUAUACAAAAUUGUCAUUGACUAACGCAAAUUUAGCAUUCAAAUUGUAUAAAAAAAACUCGGUAGCAUUCAAACUCUAUAAAAUAUAAUUUAUAUUUUAUGUACAAUCCUAAAUUGUUCUCACGUCAAAAGUAGGAAAAUGGUGAGACCGGUUGACUGUUUUUGAUAAGUUUUGAAAUAUAAAAAAUUGAAUCGAACAUACAAAAAAUGAAAUGGUAAAAAAAUGGUUUGGCCAGGGGGAUAUUGUACUUCAGAAUUUUGACAUAUGUAUGGUUCAAUGUACCUAACCAUUUACAUCAGACAGGGACAAAAGCCAGAAAAUUAGUCAAGAAACGUAAACAGAGUUGGCAAUUAAAAUCCAUUCUUUCAAAAUAAAACCAAUUAGAAGAUGACAGAAAAGAGAGAGCCUCACUUUGUGCUGGUUCAUGGAGGUUGUCAUGGUGUAUGGUGCUGGUACAAGGUGGCAACACAGUUAAGAUCAGAGGGACACAGAGUCACUGCACUGGACUCAGCAGCUUGUGGCAUCAACCAGAAGCCGCUGCAAGAAGUCCAUUCCUAUUACGACUACUUCGAACCCCUCCUGGAGUUUCUGGCCACCUUAGCACCAGAUGAGAAGGUGGUUCUGGUGGGUCACAGCUUCGGUGGAUAUGGCUUGUCACUAGCUAUGGAAACCUUCCCUGAAAAAAUUUCUGUUGCUGUUUUCGUAACAGCUUUUAUGCCUGGUCCGGACCUUACUUAUCUUGCUAUAU